rnacentral:lncRNA from 1 species
CCAAAAUAGGUAUACAUCACCCAUCUUGAGUCGCCAAAUACAUGGUACAGAAAUUAAAUACAAACUUCUUUUAUACAGUACGACAAAACAUAGCUGAGAGUUUCAACACGGAUAAUUUCUCGUAGAGAGUAUCCAAACUCAAAUAAAGUCCUCAUUAUAAUUAUUAUCACACUAUUUCACAUAAUAGUGAGGACUACAAUAGCCACUUAUCUGGACCGUCACUUCAUUUCCCGACUCAUCCCAACUAUAUUCUCAUUUCCUGAAGAGAACAAUGAAAGCAAAAUGGUGAGCUCAACUAGCCCAGUAAGAAAUAUUAUGACUAAGAUAAGGCAGAAUAAAUUAUCAUUAGCUUUCAACAGUGUUAAACUGAUAAAAUACAAUAAACAUCAAGUUCAACUGCAGCGGAACAAGCAAUCCAUUAGAAGAGUAAAGUAGAGCAUGCUAACUACUAUCUUCUAUGAUUUUAAAAGUUUAUCAUCAAUUUUAUCGCUGAGACUCAGCUAAAUAAAUAAUCCACAUCACUGAAUUAUCCAUGCACUACAGGCCAAGGAUAUUCAUUAUUAUCACCAAUGGUUAUGAUCAUACCAACAACUGUCCAUCAAUGCACUACGGGCCAAUGAUGACUUUUACCACAUCAUUUGUAACAUUACGGGUCAUGAUUAUACUGAAUAAUCCCUAGUCAUAAUCAUACCAAUUACAGUCCAUCUAUGUACUACGGCCAAAGAUGACUUUCAUCACAUUAUAAUCAUGAGGAUGAUGACAAUGAUAUAAGAAUUCAAUUUAAAUGAGAGCAAGGAUAAAUUUUAAAGAUUUAUAAUUCAAUUUAUCCAGAAUUCAAUAAUGUCUAAAUUGCCAACAUGAUACUGCUUUGUGGAGUAAAAUUCAAGAAUAACAUUGUAUCAAAAAUAAUUUGGACAGUAAAGAAAUUAAUUUUUGUCAUGAAUAGUACCCCGUGAAUAGUACCCCGGCAUGAAAAGAUUAAACUUUAACAAGAAUGUUCAGAAAAAUAUCCUUGUGAAACGAUACUAGAUGAAGUACAAAUUUCAAGGAUAUUCUACUAAUUUCAUGGAGUUUAGAAGCAAUAAUUAUCAACAUAAGUGUAGAAUUAUGAAUAUGAAAUGAAAUAGUAUUACUUACAUACUACAGAGUAUAUAAGAAAAUAUUAUUUCUUACGAAUAUUGAACAAAAAUAAUAUCACUUACGAAUACGAAAGAAAUAAUACCCCUUACCUUAGUAGGAGAUUGGCUACUAAAAUAGUGUAGUAAUAAAAUACUCUUCUUCUUUCUCUCUUAUUCUCUAUCUAUAGAAUUCUCUUGUGAGUCGUAGUGAAUUGGUGAGAAUGAAAGAAGAAAUAAGCUUCUAUUUAUAGAAGAUUUCUAACUUAGCCCUUGCAAUGUGAAAAAGCAAGUGGCUUGACGACUGGUGAUGUGAAAAAAAAAGUGGUUUGACGCUUGUAAUGUAAAACAACAAGUGGUUUGACGUUUAUAAUGUGAAACGAAAAUUGGUUCGACGCCUGUAAUGUGAAACGACAAUUGGUUCGACGCCUGUAAUGUGAAACAACAAUUGGUUCGACGCCUAUAAUAUGAAACGGCAAGUGGUUUGACAUAUAGGUAAUUACUUUUGGCGAAAGUGACUCUUAGAUGAUGACAUAUGGGCCCCCAUAGAAUAAACUAAACUUACCACAUACGUCUCAUAACAGACUUCUUAUUUAUAUCAAAGAUUGAAUAAAUAUUACCACAAAUCAUUUUAUCUUUAAUCAACACAUAUUUAAUCUUUCAACAAUUAUUCAUCAUUAAUAUUAUAACUCACAAUAUUUAAUAACCAGAUCAUUCACAGGAAAGAAGGGGCUUUCCGAUAAAGAUUUCUCCCUAUUGGCGUGCAAUUAGGUGAUCAAACAUCUCCUCAACAGAAUUUUUUAGACAUCGUCAAUAUUAUAAAUACUAAUAUGAAUAAUUUUGUCAUCACAAUUAUUGAUUUAAUAAUAUAAAAUAUUAUGCAGAUGAUACUGUGAUAAUAAGUAAAUCAAUAAUAUGAGAUACUAUGCAGCAAUUACUAUAGCAAUAAUUGAGUAUAACAGAGUGACUUCUUACGUAAGCAUCAAUAAUCAAUACUGUGUGCUACUAUGCAACCACACAUAUUACUAUACUUUUAC